CAAGAGCGUAUGUAAAAGUUGUUGCAGUUAAAAAGCUCGUAGUUGAACCUUGGGUUUGGUUGGCCGGUCUGCUUUUUUGCGAGUACUGGAUUCAACCGAGCCUUUCCUUCUGGCUAACCAGUCGUUUCGGCGGCUGGCGAACCAGGAUUUUUACUUUGAGAAAAUUAGAGUGUUCAAAGCAGGCAUUAGCUUGAAUAUAUUAGCAUGGAAUAAUAGAAUAGGACGUUAUGGUUCUAUUUUGUUGGUUUCUAGGACCAUCGUAAUGAUUAAUAGGGACGGUCGGGGGCAUCAGUAUUCAGUUGUCAGAGGUGAAAUUCUUGGAUUUACUGAAGACUAACUACUGCGAAAGCAUUUGCCAAGGACGUUUUCAUUAA
rnacentral:rRNA from 1 species